rnacentral:rRNA from 1 species
CUCCAGACUCCUACGGGAGGCAGCAGUGGGGAAUAUUGCACAAUGGGGGAAACCCUGAUGCAGCGACGCCGCGUGAGCGAAGAAGUAUUUCGGUAUGUAAAGCUCUCUCAGCAGGGAAGAAAAUGACGGUACCUGAGUAAGAAGCUCCGGCUAAAUACGUGCCAGCAGCCGCGGUAAUACGUAUGGAGCAAGCGUUAUCCGGAUUUACUGGGCGUAAAGGGAGCGUAGGCGGCCUGCCAAGUCUGAUGUGAAAGACCGGGGGUCAACCCCGGGGCUGCAUUGGAAACUGGCAGGCUGGAGUGCCGGAGAGGCAGGCGGAAUUCCUAGUGUAGCGGUGAAAUGCGUAGAUAUUAGGAGGAACACCGGUGGCGAAGGCGGCUUACUGGACUGUAACUGACGUUGAGGCUCGAAAGCGUGGGGAGCAAACAGGAUUAGAUACCCCAGUA